AGAAAAAGUUAUAAUGAAACAAAAUAAAAUUAGAUAUAUAUAAGGUGUGAGAUAAAUAUAAGUAUAACAGUGUAGAAAGUAUAAGUAAAUGCCAUAGUGGCCGACCACCUAUUUAAUGCUGUUACAUGUCAGCAAAGACACGUCAUUCUGUGAAAAUUUUCUGUAGCCGUUUCUGUGUCCCUAGCAUUACUCUUAAUUUUUUGCACAAGGUAUAGCCAAUCAUUCUCCUGUUCUCCUAGUGAAUCUAAUGUUGUUCAACAAGGAAAUCAGAUAACACUCUCCGCAUGUAGAUACCGGUGUCAACCAUCGUGUUCGAGAAGUUCAGUGCAUAGCUAUGUUCGUGGAACUUCAGUGCAUAGCUAUUAAUAACGGCUUUUCGAUUUCAAAUUAUAGCAAUGGUUAUAGACAUUUUAGCUUUAGUAUAGUACUUGAUGUUGGAUCCAACACCAGUAAUCGCAGGGCAGUAAGUGCCCACAAUCUGAAUUCUGAGAGAAUGCAAGGUAAUGAUUCAUAUAGAAGUUACUAGUUUAUUACAUCUUGGCCUAUACAUGUAUGCAUAUAUUGGUGGGCUGAUUCUUGAUAGUUAGAUGCAGGAGAUAUCACAAGAUACAAAAGAAGUGCAGGCACGGGUCAUGGGAUCAUAUGAUGUGUAGCUUUCCCCUCUCCAAAUAACAGUUGCCUUCCACAUUUUAUGCAUCUGUCAACUUGUGGGCUCUAUUGUUCAGAACUUACAUAUAUUUGGCUAACUCGAACAUUCUAUUUCAACAUGUAUAGUCCAUUUCUUCUAGCAUUUAGCAAUGGACCCUGACCCCAUCUCCCCUAGGGCUGUUCACGUAUAGUGCCGAGCCGAGCUUUAGAUUUUUUCCUAUCAAAACGAGCCGAGCUGAGCUUUCUUAUCGAACAAAAAAUUGUGUUCGAGCUCGAGCUCGUUAACUAACGAGCCAAACACGAGCUUGUUCACGAACAAAUACGAGCCGAGCCGACCCGAGUCAGAAAAAAAUAAGGUCAAACAGCUACUUGACUCUUAAAAUAGCAAGCCAAAUAAAAUUUUUGGUGAGUUUUGAUGGUACCAUAUUAUAGUUAAUAUUCUCCUGAUCGAUUUGAUAUAUUGUAUGUUGAAUUCGGCAUUCAAUAACAUGUUACGAAAUUAUCUGGAAAAUAUUGCAUUUUUUCGAGCUUUAACGAGCCGAGCUCGAGCCGAACACACUAAAAGCUCAGCUCGAGCUCAUUUUCUUAACGUUCGAGCUCGAGCUCGAGUUCUUAACCAACCGAGCCGAACCGAGCUUUUAUCGAGCCAAGCUCGAGCUUGUUCGCGAACAGCCAUAAUCUCCCCCAUACACGCAUUCAUUCUUCACCAUCCCGAAAUCAAUUUGUAAGUUUUACGCAAAAUACAAGAAUGAGUUAAGUUCGUAGAUCACGGGAAGAUCGCGACGUCACUGAAUGAAUAUCCUGCUAAUACCUUAUCCCUGUAAGUACAAUUUAGGGUCUAUCAUGUUUAGGUUUUUAACAUGUAGGUUGAGGAUAUGCUUUUUCUUAUAUCGUAAUUUAUUUACUUCUCUUGUUACUAUUGUUUAGUAUUAUGACUAAAUUAGGGUUUGAACAUGCAUAAAUUAUGUUUGACUUUGUUAAAGUUGGGAUUUUUUUACUUAUGCUGGUCCUAUAUUCUUGUAUAAAAGUCUCUGUAGUGUUAGUUGUACAAUAUGAGAAUUUUGUCCCUCACUUAUGUUUGUUUCUCUAUUUUUCAUCAUAAAAGUUGUUUACUAUAAAUUACGUCAUGGUGAGGUUAUGACUGAUAACACCAGAAGCUAUAAUGAUGAGGAUUUCGAUUAUAUUGACCGUUGUGAUGUAGACCUCAUGAGUAUAUUUGAGUUAGGAAAUAUGCUGAUAGAAUUCGGUGUGUCAGGGUUCAAAUAUACUACAACAAGUUUCCUAAGACUAAUUGGAUUAGAGAUUUGUGGAUAUGGAUAAUGAUGCAGAUGUGCUUGAUAUGUGUGAAUUUGUGUCACCCUUUAAGGUGGUGUAUGUAUUUGCUAUAAAAAUUGAGCCUGUUAGGUCCUGAAAUGAUUGUAGAAGGGGGUUGAAUACAAUCGUCACAAAUUAAUCGUGGUGGAAUAAUCUGAUUCGUGUUUAACUUGAUAAUCAGAUUUUAAUUAAUUAAUAGAACAAUGUUUAAGUCGUUAUAUAAUUAAUAAGGUUUAGUUUUAAUGUCCACUAGUUCGUAGAAUAAAUUCGACAGGAUGCAUUCUAACUCAGUGGUUAAAACAACCGAGUGAUCAAAGCACAGUAAACUGUGGAUAUAACGAAUAUCAAGUUUAGCACAACUUGAAAGCUUUACAAAUGCAAUGAACACUUACAAAUGAAGAUGGAUGGCCAUAUUUAUAGGAAAAUCCAUGAGAACUAGUAAGACAAUGCUGGAAAAGACAAUUUAAGGCUUGCUAAGACAAUUUGGCAAAUUGUCUUGCAGAAAUAAGCUAGGCAAGACAAUCUGAGAGAUUGUUUAGAGCUUGGCAAGACAAUCUAAGAGAUUGUCUAUUUCGGUAAGACAAUCUCUUGAAUUGUCUUGUAAGAGCACUCGGGAAGACAAUCUCAGAGAUUGUCUUGCCUUGCCAUGGCAAAGACAAUUGAUGUAACGGCAAGACAAUCUUUGGGAUUGUCUUACCGUGUCCUGAAGAAGGAACCAAGGCUCGGAAAGACAAUCCUUUGGAUUGUCUUGCCGAGUUUUAAAAGAAUAAAACAUGAUUUUUCUUAUAAAUAAUUAAUUAAUAUCCCUUGUCACUUAAACAAUUAAUCUGUGGCUUGUUCGUCGAUUCUUCGUCUUCUGAGUUCUUCUUCAUAAGUAGACACAAUGUGGAAUCUUCUGAAUAAAUAAAGUAUUUAAACAUUAUACCUUCUGGUCUUUUGAACGUGCUACAAAAAAUUAUUUGUACACUGAGGCUUGAACAUAUUAAUGAACUUCUUCCAGUGGUUUGUAGCUGCAUCCUGAAAUUCUUCUGACAUAAAACCUUCAAUAAAUCAUUUAACGUUCUUCGUACGGAUUUCGAUUAACAUUACUUGCUAUUUACUUUGCUUUCUUAUCAGAGUUGAGUUGAUACCUCUUUAAUUACAAAUAGGCUUAACAUAUGCCUUUCAGAGCCUUUAGUGAUUUUACCUUAUGAGGAGAUGGAGACUUAAAGAAUUUAAUCUCUCACAAGAUCUAAACUUAAAAUUUGUAGAUAAUGACAAUGAAAAUGAUAGGGAAUUUGUAGAUAAUGACAAUAAUAGAGAAGUUUUUGAUGAUCUGGGGAAUAAUAAUGAGGAAGGAUUUGCAGAAAAGUGGUGAGGAUCUAGUGACUCUGAAGAUGAGGACUAUGUUGUAGGUGAAGAAACUGAUAGAUCUUUUCAUUUAGACUCUUCAAACAUGGACAACAAUGAUGAGGAUGCAACCGAACAUAAGUAACAGAAAGCAAAACAAGCUACUAAAGAGAAUGUUUUUAGGGAAAGGGGAAUGUUGGUUGGGAAAGGAAGAAUGUUGGUGGGGAUAGGGAAGAUUGUUGCAGAUAAGGGUAAGAAAGCUGUUGGUCAUUCAGUUCGAACACGUCUGCGAGUUUGAAUUUGUGGCUCGAGUUCAGCGAUGUCAAAUUCUUGAUGGUUGUACCCUUCAGCUCGUAUGUGAUGGCGGGUCGGUUUCAAUAGAUGAUAAUGUAUUUAACAUAGUAAAGCAUGCACACGUACAUCGUAUUCAUUGCACUGAGCAUGCACCCAACCUUCCGGCAUGAUAAAUGAACAACCUUCAAGUAAAUAAAAGUAGGCAUUGCGAGGAACAGAGUUAUCUACGUUAGACACUUUACAAGCAUGUGUGAUAUGACUCGUGAAAUUGUAGUAAUUAAAAAUUUUCCUACAACUAGAUAACUUAGCAUUUGUUCAUUUGCGUCUAAUUUGUCAUUCUUGUUUUUCUUCUUUUUAGUUGCACUAGUUCUUCAUAAUCCAAACCUUUCAGAUUCAUCUUUUACAGGGGGACUAAGAGGUACUAUUGAUAAUUCGUAUUCUAGUUGAGGUUCAAAACUUCCUCAUUUCUUAAUUCCUCUUCUAUGAUCAGAUCUUUCUCAUCUAGAGUUUCGGGCACUUCUCUUCUAAAGAGAGGGUUCUUGGAGUUUUUAAAGAUUAUAGGUACAUUUAUUUCUUCUGGUGGAUUCUCAGUGCUAGCGGAAACAAAUGUACUUUCAUUUUCUUUUCUUUUCUUCCUUUUAGAACUUUCCAAAGAACUGUAGACAAGGACGAUAACAAUUUUCUUUUCUAUCAGUUGACUAUCCAAGAUCUCUUUUUAGAGGUGGGCUGAGUUUUAAUAGGCUAUAAUCUUAGUUUCAAGGUCAACUAUCUUAGACCUAGGGGAUUCCUCAAUUUAUACGUUAUACUUUUCCUUAGACUCAAGAUAUUGAAUUCUAUAGUUUCUGUAAGGCAAGAUCAUCUAUCCGUUCUUAUAGUUUAGCUACCUUUCGAGUGAGACUAGUGUUCUCUGACUCUGAAGCUAAUAAUUAACUUGUGUGCAAAUUAUACAUCUCUUGUCCUAGUUUAUUUGUGGUCUUUUUAUAAUCAUUAAAAGACAUGUCGUCAACAGACAUGUGUCAGGAGAUACCUGAGAUAGAGUUUCCUUUAUCGUGUCUACCAUGAGUGCACAUGCAUAGUUACUCUGGACAGGCUCUUCGUCAAAGUUAGUAUCACCCCAACUUUUUUCCUUAGCAAUGUAGGCCCUUCCUUUGUGUUCGGCCAUCAUCGCUUCCAUCUUCACUUUCAGUUUCACAUUGUCUUUCUUCAGAUCCUCAUAUAAAUUAUUCUUCUCAUAAGAGGUGUAUAUUUCUUUGACAGAUGGAGCCGUUUUGGAUUUCCUACACUUAGUUGAAAAGUGACCUAAGUCGUUGUAGUUGUGGCACUUUAACUUGCUAUUGUCGGAUCAUGUUUAGUUUAAAACUACUACUGCUCCUUGAGCGAGACCCUGAUCCCGAAUAACCACUCUUUCCUUGAAACUUACUUUAACAUGCUUUAUUGUAGCGGGGGUUCCUUCUGAAGUUGAUAUGCUUGAACCUUGCAUCCAUAUAAGCCAUGGACUUAUCCUCUAGUUGUUGAAGCUCCUCUAAAGUGUAAAACUCAUCCGUCGGAUUCAUGAAAACUUCAUCAAUUUUAGCCUCAAUAAUCUUAGGCUUUGUAGGGGUAUAUUCAGAUUUGACCGAUGAGUAAUCACUCUUUGCAGAUGAAUACUCAAAUUGGCCAAAGUCAAUUAGUUCUUGAUAGCUAAAGUAUGGCUCAUCUGCUAGAAGUGUAGUAGUCUUUUGCAUAGCCGCACGCUUGGCCACUACUGAUCUCAAACCAUAUAUUUUCUUUUCUGGUCAAGCUCUAUUUCUAAAUUCUUUAGUUUCCUAAACAUCUUAUCUAGGGGCAUGGUUCUGAAGUCAUUCCUUUCGCGGAUGGAUUCAGUCUUUUUGACUAGGUAGGGUGGCAUCAACAAUGCGAAUUUCUGUUUAUCUCCUUUUACAGAUAUACUUUACCUUGAAGAGUCGGUUCAUUCAAUAGUAGCUUGAACAUCCCGUAGAUUUGUGUUGAAAUCAAUUAACUAAAUAUCUAGGGCAAUUGGAUUCACAAUGCUUACACCAAACUGGCUUCUAAACUAAGAUAAUAAAAGUGGUUACGUAGCUAGUGUUGAGUUUGUGUAUGCAAUUUAGGUAUAAUUUCAGUAUACUAGGUGUAGAAUAGAAU
rnacentral:lncRNA from 1 species